CCUACGGGAGGCAGCAGUGGGGAAUAUUUCGCAAUGGGCGAAAGCCUGACGCAGCGACGCCGCGUGAGGGAUGAAGGUCUUCGGAUCGUAAACCUCUGUCAGCAGGGAAGAACGGUCACUGUGCUAAUCAGCAGUGAAUUGACGGUACCUGCAAAGGAAGCACAGGCUAACGCCGUGCCAGCAGCCGCGGUAAUACGGAGGGUGCGAGCGUUAAGCGGAAUUACUGGGCGUAAAGCGCUCGUAGGCGGUAUGUCAAGGCAAGGGUGAAAUCCCCGCGCUCAACGUGGGAACUGCCUUUGAAACUGGCAAACUGGGGUGUGUGAGAGGAUAGUGGAAUUCCAGGUGUAGGAGUGAAAUCCGUAGAUAUCUGGAGGAACAUCAGUGGCGAAGGCGACUAUCUGGCACAUAACUGACGCUGAGGAGCGAAAGCGUGGGUAGCAAACAGGAUUAGAUACCCGAGUAGUC
rnacentral:rRNA from 1 species